CAGCCGCCGCGGUAAUACGAAGGUGGCAAGCGUUGUUCGGAAUCACUGGGCUUAAAGAGCACGUAGGCGGCCUAUCAAGCGUCAGGUGAAAUCCCUCGGCUCAACCGAGGAAUUGCAAGGCGAACUGAUAGGCUUGAGGCAGGUAGGGGCACAUGGAACUCUUGGUGGAGCGGUGGAAUGCGUAGAUAUCAAGAGGAACGCCGGUGGCGAAAGCGGUGUGCUGGGCCUGACCUGACGCUGAGGUGCGAAAGCCAGGGGAGCGAACGGGAUUAGAUACCCCGGUAGUCCUGGCCCUAAACGAUGUCCACUAGGUCGGAGGCUCUCUGACGAAUUUCCGGCCGAAACAAAAGCGUUAAGUGGACCGCCUGGGGAGUACGGUCGCAAGGCUAAAACUCAAAGGAAUUGACGGGGGCUCACACAAGCGGUGGAGCAUGUUGCUUAAUUCGAUGCAACGCGAAGAACCUUAUCCUGGGCUUGACAUACUUGGAUGCCUACUGGGAAACCAGGUCGGCUGCUCUUCGGAGUGAAACUUGUACAGGUGCUGCAUGGCUGUCGUCAGCUCGUGUCGUGAGAUGUUGGGUUAAGUCCCGUAACGAGCGAAACCCUUGUCGCUAGUUGCCAGCGCGUAAUGGCGGGGACUCUAGCGAGACUGCCGGUGUUAAACCGGAGGAAGGUGGGGAUGACGUCAAGUCCUCAUGGCCUUUAUGCCCAGGGCUGCAAACGUGCUACAAUGGCCGAGACAAACCGACGCAAUACCGCGAGGUGGAGCAAAUCGGAUAAAGUCGGCCCCAGUUCGGAUUGGAGUCUGCAACUCGACUCCAUGAAGUCGGAAUCGCUAGUAAUCGUGUAUCAGCGCGACACGGUGAAUGUGUUCCUGAGCCUUGUACACACCGCCCGUCAAGUCAUGGAAGCCGGGAGCGCCCGAAGUCGGGGUAAUACUGCCCUGCCGAAGGUGAGCUCGGUGACUGGGACUAAGUCGUAACAAGGUAACCGUA
rnacentral:rRNA from 1 species